UACUUAAUGUCUCUUCCGCCUUUUCCUUCCCCGACCCCCUCCCAGACUCCUUCAUUCCCGUACUGCUGGGACGGAAAGCCCCGGGUAACCGACACCACGUCCCCGGCUAGCGAGAGAGAGCGUAGAGAAAGAUUCCACCCAACCGUUUAAAUCCGUCGGCUUCUGCUUCCUCUCUCCUGAGCUAGACCCAGCAAGCCUAGAGAGUUGGGCUACGGAAAAACUAGUGUUUUCAUUUAAUUGGAUAUGAAGAAAGAACAAAUAUGUACGGGGGCAACCACGAUCUUUAUAAAGAACAUAAGUUCCAGGAAAACAGGAACCUUGUCUCUCUUGUUCACUGGUGUAUCCUCUGCAUAUAGAACAGUACCUGGCACAUAAUAGGUGCUGAGAACAAGACCCUUCAAGAUGUCUGUUCUCACUACUUCUAUUCAGCAUUACACUGGAGAUUCUGGUCAGGACAGUUAGGCAAGAAAAAGAAAAAGCAUCCAAAUUGGAAAGGAAGAAAUAAAACUAUCUUUAUUGACAGAUGACAUGAUUUGGUAUAGAAAAAAUCUUGAGGAACCACUAUAAAACUACUAAAACUAAUAAACAAGUUCAACAAGAUUGUAGGAUACAAAACCAGUAUACAAAAAUCAAUUGACUUCUAUACAAUAGCAAUGAACAAUUUGAAAAUGAAAGAAAACAAUUCCAUUCACAAUAGCAUCCAAAAGAAUAAAAUGAUUAGGAAUAAAUUUAACAAAAGAAUUGCAAGACUUCUACACUGGAAACUACAAAACAUUGUUAAAGAGGACCUAAUAAAUGGAAAGAUAUUCCAUAUUCAUGAAUCAGAAGACUUAAUAUUGUUAAGAUGGCAAUACUUCCCAAAUUGAUCUAUGGAUUCAGUGCAGUUCCUCUUAUAAUUCCUGCUGACUUUUUUCCCCCCAGAAAUUAAAAGCUGGUCCUAAAAUUGAUUUAUGAACACAAAGGACCCAGAAUAGCCAAAACAAUCUUGAAAAACAACAAAAAAUUUGGACAACUCACACUUCCCCAUUUCAAAACUUAGUACAAAGCUAUAAUAAUCAAGGCAUUGGUAUAAGGAUAGCUAUCUAGUUCGAUGGAAUAGAAUUGAAAGUGAAAUAAACCCUUAAAUUUAUGGUCAAUUGAUUUCAACAAAGGUUUCAAGACAAUUCAACUGUGAAAGAAUAGUCUUUUCAACAAAUGUUGCUGAAACAAUAGAUAUUCACUUACAAAAGAAUGAAUUUGAAUCUAAACCUCACACCAUACACAAAAAUUGAUCAUAGACCUCAAUGUAGCUAAAACUAUAGAACUCUUAGAAGAAAACAUAGGAAUAUAUCUUCAUGACCUUGAACUAGGCAGUAAUUUCUUAAAUACAACACCAAAAGCACAAACAAUAAAGAAAAUUGAUAAAUUGGACUUAAUCAAAAUUCAAAACUUUUGCACUUCAAAAGACAUAAUUACGAAAAUGAAAAGAUAACUCACAGACUGGAAGAAAAUACUUGCAAGUCAUAUAUUCAACA